ACAGAUGAGGGCGACUACCAGGUAAAACUGCGCAACCUGCGUCGCUUCCUCGAGGGAGGUGACAAAACUAAAGUCACUAUCCGUUUCCGUGGCCGGGAAAUGGCACACCAAGAGUUGGGUAUUGACCUGCUAAACCGUGUUAAAGCGGAUUUAGAAGAAAUCUCAACUGUUGAGUCGUUCCCUAGAAGGGCUGAAGGUCGUCAGAUGAUUAUGGUUCUGGCACCGGUUAAGAAGUGAUCGUGGUUUACAAGUAGGCAGCUUGCUGUCUCACCCUUUCACACUUUCAAUCAACAAUGCGGAGUUUAAUUUCAUGCCAAAAAUGAAA
rnacentral:misc_RNA from 1 species